rnacentral:lncRNA from 1 species
GCCGAACGCGCUAACCGAUUGCGCCACAGAGACAAGCGCUUCCGCUUCUACUGGUGAUAUGGGAAGGGCCCACUCACUGAACUAACUCCCUUCCCUCUACUCCCAGAGCCCGCCCGGCAGGACCACCGAGCAAGGCCUUGGAAAACCAGAGAGAUUAGAGCGAAUGGGGAAAUGGAGAGAGAACCUGAAAGAGCCCCAAACUCGAGGACCUAUUGCUCCCCAAGAAUAACAUCUUCCAGAAGAACUAGACAGAAAACUAGGCGUCUGGGAACUCUGAAAUCCUUGGAGGAGUAGCAUCAUCAUGACCCUCUGUGUUCCUUUUGGCAAAGGACUUGCUCCCAUUGUUUGCUUGUUCCAUUGUCUGUCUGUUAAAUAAAUAAAACCCUUUUCAUAUAUCUUUAAACUU